rnacentral:misc_RNA from 1 species
CCGAGUUUUCAACUCCCAAACCCACUGUGAACAUAUACCAUUUGUUUAUUCGUUGCCUCGGCGGGUUCUACUCCCUGGAGACAGGGGGCCAGCCCCCGCCGGUGUAACACCCAAAACCCUGAAUGUGUACCCGUUACACGGCAGUAUUACUCUGAGUCACAUCAUUUUAAAUGAAUCA